GGCGGUGGCCGGUGUGCGAGCGGGGCCGGGCCUGGGCAGCCGUGGCGCCGUAGGGCCUCGCGCAGCGUCCGCGGGCUCCGGGGCGGGGGCUCCAGCGGCGAAGCCCCCUCCCCGGGGAGGCGGGGCCUGGGCGAGCUCCGGAGCCGGGAGCGGCGGCGGCCGGGAACGAUGCAUCAGAAGCUGCUGAAGAGCGCGCACUACAUCGAGCUGGGCAGCUACCAGUACUGGCCGGUCCUGGUGCCUCGCGGCAUCCGCCUCUACACCUACGAGCAGAUCCCCGUGUCCCUCAAGGACAACCCUUACAUCACCGACGGCUACCGGGCCUACCUGCCCUCCAGGCUGUGUAUCAAAAGUUUGUUUAUUUUAUCUAAUGAGACGGUUAACAUCUGGAGUCAUUUGCUGGGUUUCUUUCUCUUCUUCACCCUGGGAAUAUAUGAUAUGACAUCUGUGUUACCCUCGGCAAGUGCAUCCAGAGAAGAUUUUGUAAUUUGUUCUAUUUGUCUUUUCUGCUUCCAGGUCUGUAUGCUUUGCUCUGUGGGCUAUCAUCUUUUUUCUUGCCAUCGAUCAGAAAAAACAUGUCGAAGAUGGAUGGCAUUAGAUUAUGCAGGAAUUUCUAUUGGAAUACUGGGCUGCUAUGUCUCAGGAGUAUUUUAUGCAUUUUAUUGUAAUAAUUAUUGGCGCCAAGUGUACUUGAUCACAGUGCUGGCCAUGAUCCUGGCAGUGUUCUUUGCGCAGAUUCAUCCCAAUUACCUCACACAGCAAUGGCAGAGGCUCCGUUCUAUCAUCUUCUGUUCUGUUUCGGGAUAUGGAGUGAUCCCCACUCUUCACUGGGUUUGGCUCAAUGGAGGAAUCGGUGCUCCUAUUGUACAGGACUUUGCACCCCGUGUACUUGUGAUGUAUAUGAUUGCUCUUCUUGCUUUCCUCUUCUACAUUUCCAAAGUGCCAGAACGGUACUUUCCAGGACAACUAAACUACCUCGGAUCAAGCCACCAAAUAUGGCAUAUCCUUGCAGUAGUGAUGUUAUAUUGGUGGCAUCAGUCAACAGUGUAUGUCAUGCAGUAUAGACAUAGCAAGCCUUGUCCUGACUAUGUUUCACAUUUGUGAAUUCAGUGCUUAUGGGAAGUACCAAAAUCUAAAGUAAACCAAGCCGAGUAGCUGAAUUUAUGAAAACCACUCUACCUGAUGAACAUAAGCACAGAAGAGUGGGUGCCACCUAGUAUUUUCCACCAGCAAGAUGAGAAUUAGUUAAUCCCUGCGGAACUUUGAACCAGGAGUUAAUGCCGAGAGUCCGGGAGAAGUUAUCUACUGUUUAGAAGGAAAUGGAGCAGCACCGAAUGGGUCUAAUUCAACUGGCUGGGACUGCUGGGACUGAUGUGGACUGAUGCUUUGCACCACGAGUUCUGUAAAGGGCACCGCACCAAAGUCAUCCAUUUUCAAUGCCUCCGCACUGUGGAAUGACCCAUGGAGUGAAUUCUGUCGUGGCCGCCCGGGCAGGAUGGUGGUGUGGUCGGCACAGAUGUCGCCCAGGCCCUGAUGGGACGGGUGCCAGGGCAGGUCUGGAGGAUGGAAGGGCUUGGCUCCAAAGGGGUCCAACAGACUCUCCUCGGGCUGUAAGACAUUCCCCCUCUCCUUCCCAUCAGGCAGGGCCACGCUGAUGUUCUCCUUGGAGUCCGAGAUGGUUAGAAAUUCAUUGCUGCUCUGAGAGUCUCGGCGGCCCACUUUCUUGUGCCUGCGAGCCCUCUCUGGAGUGCGGUAGGUAGGCUUCAGGGUCUUCUUGGUGCUGGUCGGCGUGCCAUGAUGCCGCUUCCCGUUACUCUUGGACAUAUCCUGCUUUGUGCGCCUUUGGCGAGAGGACAGUUUCUGUAAGCUGCGCUGUUUGACUUUUUGCUGCUGACUCCCAGUUACUUCCUCAAAGGGCACAAGGCCAAAAAGGUCCUCGGUGCUUUCACUUUUACUUGUUGAUGUGGGAAAGGGCUGAAAUGGAGUGGAGCCAAAGACAUCUACGCUCUGGGGGCAGCCAGGGGGAGUGUGGGCCUGGGGCGCCGGCACGUGGCGCUGCUGCACAUCGACCUUCUUGCUAAAGGGAGCCUUCGUGAACACAUCAAAUUCCUCCUGCUCUAGUCCCACAGUGGGAGACCUCUGUUGACCCAGGUUCUUUGCGUUGUCUCCCGGCUGGGGCGGUUGAGCAUGCACUGCAAAGAAGGGGACAGCGCCAAAUACGUCAAACUCCUGUUUGGGAGUCUCCAACCCAAACCUAGAGGGCAGCGGGGUGGGGGUGAGGAGUGCUGUGGCCAGGCCUUGAGUUGGUCCACCGCCAGGUUUGUCUUUGCAGACAAGGCUCUCCCCACUGUACUUUGCUUUAGUCUGCUCAUAAUCAGAAUCAGAGCUGUGUUUCUCCUCUUCUUCCUCAUCCUCAGAAUCCAUAAGCAGAGGCCGAUGGCCCAGGUUUUCUGGUUCAGUAUCCUCAUCAUUAAAAUCCCCUUGCUCUCCCUGAACUUCUUCAUCCUCUUGUUCUUCCUCUUCACUGCUCUUAGGAGAAGGGGGAUCUGAUUCAAAAUCACUUUCAGAUUCAUCAUUCCCCUUUUGCACUUGACCCUGUAAUGAUGAAUUCUCUGAGCUUUUCUUUCCGGUCCGCUGAUCUUUACAUACCAGACUUGCUUUUCCAUUCCUGAUGGGGUUUGCAGUGCUAUGUUCUAGAUUCAUGGAUGAAUAUUCAACUCUCUUUUCGGGAGAACCUGCAGGUUCAAAGAAAAAUUAGAACAAUAUUCAAUGCAUUUAAAAAUCUAUCUGCACUAAACAGUACUAGGCAUUAGUACAUGAUAUUACAUAUCCCUCACACCAGUUUCCUUAGAGGAAAAAGUAUUGUCAAGUCUUUUUCAUUAGCCUUAGUGGACACAUUUGUCCUCAACCUAAUGGCUCUUUAAUGAAGCCAGACUCAUCAUAUCUACCUCCACACUGCCUUACGUAUUACAGACCUUCAGUGACGGCUAAUUUUUUAUUUAAUAGCACUCAGAAUAUGACCCUAAAAGGAGCAGACAAGCAAAUUACUUCUCCCCACCAUGAAAAUAAAAAGUAUUCAGCUCAUUCUGACUGCUCAGAUUUCACCUUCAUCAAACCUUAAAGUUUUCCCAUAAACAAGCAUGAAUGGAUUUUCUGCUUCGUUAAAAGUUUCACGAAAUUGGCCGGCGCCGCGGCUCACUGGGCUAAUCCUCCGCCUAGCAGUGCCGGCACACCAGGUUCUAGUCCCGGUCGGGGCGCCGGAUUCUGUCCCGGUUGCCCCUCUUCCAGGCCAGCCCUCUGCUGUGGCCCGGGAGUGCAGUGGAGGAUGGCCCAGGUGCUUGGGCCCUGCACCCCAUGGGAGACCAGGAAAAGCACCUGGCUCCUGGCUCCUGCCAUCGGAUCAGCGUGGUGCGCCGGCCGCAGCGCACCGGCCGCAGCGGCCAUUGGAGGGUGAACCAACGGCAAAUGGAAGACCUUUCUCUCUGUCUCUCUCUCACUGUCCACUCUGCCUGUCAAAAAAAAAAAAAAGUUUCACGAAAUUUUUUAAAUUCGUGUUCUGAUAGUAUCUUUUGAACUGUAUCUUCCAUCACUAAAGCUAAAGACAAGAUACUAAACUGAGACUGAAAGGACAUCAACCUCCUCUCGAGGGACACAUCUUUGUUUAGCUGUCAUAUUUAUAGAAGUGGUCUUCAAAAAAUUAAUGGAAAAUGCAUGUUAUGAAAAAUUUUUGCAUUAAAGUAAGCUUAUCUUUUGAUUCAACUUUCCCACAUAUUUUCUGAAGUUUCCUGGUACUAUUAGGCAUUCCGUUGAAAUUAUUCUGCCUUUAGAAACAAAUCUAAGCCAUCAGUAUGUUAACAGUGUGCCACGCAAUAAGAAUACACCAAAAAACACAAUGCUUUGCAAUUUAACUGUAUGGUCUAUAAGAAAGAAAUACAGUGUACACACUUACAUGAAAAUAUACUGCCCUCCCAGUAUAGUCAUGUACUGAUUUUUUAAAGGUGAAGAUCAAUUUGUAUUGAUCCAACCACACAUUCUCAUUCCUGCCCCCUUUCACUUCAAAUAAAAUCAGACAUUUUCAAAACAAUUAAAUGGUCUGAAGUCUGUAAUCAUGAAAAAAUAAUUAGGUAGGAGGUACAGUUCCUUUCCCAUUAUUAAUACGGCAGUCUCUGACAUGACACCUUGGAGUAUUUUCUCCUCUUUGAAAAGUCAGAACCAUUGUCAUCCCACCUCUCUGACUGCUGGGACUUUGCUUUUACCAACAUUCCCUUAAAUGCAUAGGUCCCGCAGAUUCUAUCUUUGCCUGUGUUUCUCUGCAUGCACUCUCUGGGGUCUUAACCACCUGGGUGGUGACUGCAAGGUACACCAACAGUUUUGGCUGGCUCUAAUCUCUAACCCAUUAUUCCUAAGUUCCAGACAAAAAUCUCUAAUACUUACCAUGAAUACAUUUUACCUGUCUAUUGAGAAGAGGAUCCUACUGUUACCUCAAAUUCAGUCAUUUCAAAAGACACCAUUAAAAUGUGCGCCUCCACAGUUCCCUGCAAACGACUGAGCGGCACCUCCAUCUACUCAGAUCCUCAAGUCACCAAAAAUGUGGAAGUCAUCUUCCCUCCUCCCACCAUUCACUGCUUUAAAACCUAAUGAACCUGUUCCCCUCCUCCCUCUGCUUGCCAUUUCAUUCCUUGUUGUCUGAUUCUUUCAUUAUCUCACAGAUCAACUCUAAGCUUGCCUCUGCCUCAAGUAUUAUCCUUCAGAUGGAUUCUUUACAUGGUCACCAGAACGAUGACAUUAAUCACACAACUACUGUUUUCCAGGGUCUCUCUAAGAGCCUGACCCUUCACAAGGCGCAGGGUGCUCUUUGCUCACAGGGCUCCAUCCCACCACAUCAGCAGCCUCAGCCCGAUGCCUCCCUUGGGUAGUCUCUUCAUAGCCACACCCACAUGCUCCCUACCUAAAAACAAGAACCAAAUAGAUGGGAUGGCUUGUUCUGAGCUGUCUUGCUCUUUAAUUUCAAUUUUUGCUGUAUUAAGAUCUGUCUCCCUUUGCAAUACUGUACCUCAGUAUGAGUGCCCUUCUACAACUCCCACUGGACAGCCUGAUGAACUUAACACAUGGCCUAGCCUUUCAGAGCCACUCCUGGGGGGGGGGGGGGGGAUAGGAACUACUCUAAACAUGAUGCUCCUAAUGAAACUAGUACAAACCCUAACUGUACUACCUACUCUACUCUAUUGCAAUUAUGUGUCUACUUGUCUAGUAUUGCUAUUUAUCAUUAUCUUGUUUAUCAUUCAUCUCUGUACUCUAGCAUUGUAAGGUAUCAGUAUUUGUUGAAACAGUAAGUGACUACUUGGAAAUCACCAACUAUAUUCAAACUACAUUAAGGGAUGUGAUAAUAAACAUAAAUUUAAUAUAAUAAAGGAAUAUAAUCAAGAUAAA